GACGAACGCUGGCGGCGUGCCUAACACAUGCAAGUCGAGCGGAGGUAGAUUGCGGAAGUUUUCGGAUGGAAGCGAUGUACUUUAGCGGCGGACGGGUGAGUAACGCGUGAGCGACCUACCUUGCACAGGGGGAUAACGGGGGGAAACCUUCACUAAUACCGCAUGAGACCACAGCCUUACAUGGGGUGGUGGUCAAAGGAGCAAUCCGGUGCAAGAUGGGCUCGCGUCCUAUUAGAUAGUUGGUGGGGUAACGGCCCACCAAGUCAACGAUGGGUAGCCGACCUGAGAGGGUGAUCGGCCACAUUGGAACUGAGAGACGGUCCAAACUCCUACGGGAGGCAGCAGUGGGGAAUAUUGGGCAAUGGGGGAAACCCUGACCCAGCAACGCCGCGUGAGGGAAGAAGGUUUUCGGAUUGUAAACUUCUUUUGUCAGGGACGAAACAAAUGACGGUACCUGACGAAUAAGCCACGGCUAACUACGUGCCAGCCGCCGCCGUAAAAC
rnacentral:rRNA from 1 species